GACGGAGGAUGCAAGCGUUAUCCGGAAUUAUUGGGCGUAAAGCGUCCGCAGGUGGCCUAUCAAGUCUGCUGUCAAAGACCGGGGCUUAACCCCAGAAAGGCAGUGGAAACUGAAAAGCUAGAGAUAGGUAGGGGCAGAGGGAAUUCCCAGUGUAGCGGUGAAAUGCGUAGAGAUUGGGAAGAACACCGGUGGCGAAAGCGCUCUGCUGGGCCAUAACUGACACUCAGGGACGAAAGCUAGGGGAGCGAAUGGG
rnacentral:rRNA from 1 species